CCAACACUGGGACUGAGAACUGCCCAGACUCCUACGGGAGGCUGCAGUCGAGAAUCUUUCGCAAUGGGCGCAAGCCUGACGAAGCGACGCCGUGUGAGUGAAGAAGGUCUUCGGAUUGUAAAGCUCUUUCGCCCGGGAACAAGGGUCUGCAGUGAAUACCUGCAGAUUUUGAGCGUACCGGGUAAAGAAGCACCGGCUAACUCC
rnacentral:rRNA from 1 species